rnacentral:rRNA from 1 species
GACGAACGCUGGCGGCGUGCUUAACACAUGCAAGUCGAACGGUAAGGCCCUUCGGGGUACACGAGUGGCGAACGGGUGAGUAACACGUGGGUGAUCUGCCCUGCACUUCGGGAUAAGCCUGGGAAACUGGGUCUAAUACCGGAUAGGACCCUGGGAUGCAUGUCCUGGGGUGGAAAGCUUUUGCGGUGUGGGAUGGGCCCGCGGCCUAUCAGCUUGUUGGUGGGGUGAUGGCCUACCAAGGCGACGACGGGUAGCCGGCCUGAGAGGGUGACCGGCCACACUGGGACUGGGAUACGGCCCAGACGCCGACGGGAGGCAGCAGUGGGGAAUAUUGCACAAUGGGCGCAAGCCUGAUGCAGCGACGCCGCGUGAGGGAUGACGGCCUUCGGGUUGUAAACCUCUUUCAGCACCGACGAAGCGCAAGUGACGGUAGGUGCAGAAGAAGGACCGGCCAACUACGUGCCAGCCGCCGCCGUAC